CCUACGGGAGGCAGCAGUAGGGAAUUUUCGGCAAUGGGGGGAACCCUGACCGAGCAACGCCGCGUGAACGAAGAAGUUCUUCGUAAUGUAAAGUUCUUUUAACAGGGAAGAAAGAGAAAUUUGACGGUACCUGCAGAAUAAGCUCCUGCUAACUACGUGCCAGCAGCCGCGGUAAUACGUAGGGAGCGAGCGUUAUCCGGAAAUAUUGGGCGAAAAGGGUGCGUAGAUGGCAUAGUAAGUCUUUUGUAAAAAUGCUGGGCUAAACCCAGUAGGGCAAAAGAUACUGCAAAGCUAGAGUAUGACAGAGGCAAGUGGAACUACAGGUGUAGCGGUAAAAUGCGUAAAUAUAUGUAAGAACACCAGUGGCGAAGGCGACUUGCUGGGUCGAUACUGACAUUGAGGCACGAAAGCGUGGGGAGCAAACAGGAUUAGAUACCCCAGUAGUC
rnacentral:rRNA from 1 species